rnacentral:rRNA from 2 species
UUUUAUGGAGAGUUUGAUCCUGGCUCAGGAUGAACGCUGGCGGCGUGCCUAAUACAUGCAAGUCGAGCGAACGGACGAGAAGCUUGCUUCUCUGAUGUUAGCGGCGGACGGGUGAGUAACACGUGGAUAACCUACCUAUAAGACUGGGAUAACUUCGGGAAACCGGAGCUAAUACCGGAUAAUAUUUUGAACCGCAUGGUUCAAAAGUGAAAGACGGUCUUGCUGUCACUUAUAGAUGGAUCCGCGCUGCAUUAGCUAGUUGGUAAGGUAACGGCUUACCAAGGCAACGAUGCAUAGCCGACCUGAGAGGGUGAUCGGCCACACUGGAACUGAGACACGGUCCAGACUCCUACGGGAGGCAGCAGUAGGGAAUCUUCCGCAAUGGGCGAAAGCCUGACGGAGCAACGCCGCGUGAGUGAUGAAGGUCUUCGGAUCGUAAAACUCUGUUAUUAGGGAAGAACAUAUGUGUAAGUAACUGUGCACAUCUUGACGGUACCUAAUCAGAAAGCCACGGCUAACUACGUGCCAGCAGCCGCGGUAAUACGUAGGUGGCAAGCGUUAUCCGGAAUUAUUGGGCGUAAAGCGCGCGUAGGCGGUUUUUUAAGUCUGAUGUGAAAGCCCACGGCUCAACCGUGGAGGGUCAUUGGAAACUGGAAAACUUGAGUGCAGAAGAGGAAAGUGGAAUUCCAUGUGUAGCGGUGAAAUGCGCAGAGAUAUGGAGGAACACCAGUGGCGAAGGCGACUUUCUGGUCUGUAACUGACGCUGAUGUGCGAAAGCGUGGGGAUCAAACAGGAUUAGAUACCCUGGUAGUCCACGCCGUAAACGAUGAGUGCUAAGUGUUAGGGGGUUUCCGCCCCUUAGUGCUGCAGCUAACGCAUUAAGCACUCCGCCUGGGGAGUACGACCGCAAGGUUGAAACUCAAAGGAAUUGACGGGGACCCGCACAAGCGGUGGAGCAUGUGGUUUAAUUCGAAGCAACGCGAAGAACCUUACCAAAUCUUGACAUCCUUUGACAACUCUAGAGAUAGAGCCUU